UUUUUUUAUUAGCAUUUUAUAAUUGUACAUAAUAAUGGAAGUUGUUAUUACAUAUUUAUAUAUGCAAGUAACAUAAUUCAUUCAAUUUCCUUCCUUGAUACCUCCAUUUUCUUUCCCCUCUCCUCUGGUAGAUUACAUAGUUUUUGAUAUAAAGUAAAUAGCAAUUCAUUUGUUUUUCAAAAAAAAGUCAACUUUAGUUCUAAUUUGUGAAAAGUUUAUAUAAUCUUGUUAUAAGGAAUACUGAGCAAUGUAAGAGAUGUUAUCUACAACAAAAACUUUACAUAAAGGCAAAUAUUUUACACGUGGCAAUUUCUUAGGUCAAUAACUAAUCAGAAUUUGUGGGAAACCAGAGAAAGAUAAUCCAAAUAUGUAGCUACACCUUAUUGUGGCUUGAUAAGAACAUAAAAGAUGAAAGAAUCAAGAAAUUUAUUUCUAAAAUAGGUCUCAUUUUAUGAUACAUGUACACACAUGAGCACAAACAUAUAUAAUGUGUAUCCCAAUUUCACAUUCUACUGACUUCACAUUGUUCUCAGGAUAAAGACAAAAAUCCUCAAUGUUGACAAAAGGACAAGACCCUCCUACUUUUCAGGUCCUCUCUGUAUAUACACUCAUCUUUCAGUUCCUAAGGUUUGCCAUUCAACCUAAUAUGUCACAAGCUGUUCUCUAUGCCAGAAAGCUUCAUGGACUCCAGAAUUUGAAUUGAGGUGGACAUAGAAGUAUAAUAUUUGCUAAGUGUAUAAACUGUUUGGAGGAAUAACAUGUACAAACAUUGGAGAUGUGAGGGAAAACACUGCAGUGGCUAACAACAAAGAGUUUGGCAUUUUUGGCAAAUAGUGCAAGGUCAGAGGGCAUUGAGUGAUCUUCCAUCUUCUAGUUUUUAUUCCCUAUAGAGAAUAAACUAUAUGGAAAGCCAGUCAAAUUAAUAAAAAUUUUUGGAAGGAAUGAUCGUUUUAAAUCUUUUGAUAUACACAGUCAUACAAGUAGACUAAAAAUGUUUUGUUGUAAAAAAGUUUAAAAGGAUGUUCACUAAAACAUAAAAGGAACCUACGUAAGAACUUCAGUGGCUUUAAUAGUAUCAAUUACAGUUGUUAAAACAUGUAAAAUGGACCCUGAUUAGGUAUCUUAUUUAUUCAGUUCAUUUCUACUUAGGAAAUGGAUUUUUUUAUAAUGUAAAGAUGUGCUGUAGUCUGGCCUAUAUCCAAAUUAUCAGAUGUUAAUUUCCAGUGGUGAGAAUCCAACCAAGGACCUCUGUAUGCUAGGCAAACACUACCACUGAGCUAUACCACCAACCUCACAGAUGCUUCAUUAGCAAAAUUUUCUAUGCAAUGUGAUGGAGAAAUGAAAAUCAGUAAUGGAUAUCCCCCAUUCAAGGCCAG
rnacentral:lncRNA from 1 species